rnacentral:tRNA from 1 species
GCCCCUGUAGCUCAGCUGGAUAGAGCGGGGGUUUCCUAAACCCUGUCUGCCGGGGGUUCGAGUCCCUCCAGGGGCACCA